GACGAACGCUGGCGGCGUGCUUAACACAUGCAAGUCGAACGGUGAAGCGCCUUCCUUUUUGGUGGGUGUGGAUGAGUGGCGAACGGGUGAGUAACACGUGAGUAACCUGCCCCCUUCUUCUGGAUAACCGCAUGAAAGUGUGGCUAAUACGGGAUAUUCUGGGUCUGUCGCAUGAUGGGUCUGGGAAAGAUAUUGUUUCGGUGGGGGAUGGGCUCGCGGCCUAUCAGCUUGUUGGUGGGGUGAUGGCCUACCAAGGCGGUGACGGGUAGCCGGCCUGAGAGGGUGGACGGUCACACUGGGACUGAGACACGGCCCAGACUCCUACGGGAGGCAGAAGUGGGGAAUAUUGCACAAUGGGCGCAAGCCUGAUGCAGCGACGCCGCGUGAGGGAUGGAGACCUUCGGGUUGUGAACCUCUUUCGCCAGUGAAGCAGGCCUGCCUCGUUUGUGGGUGGGUUGACGGUAGCUGGAUAAGAAGCGCCGGCUAACUACGUG
rnacentral:rRNA from 1 species